GCUCACUUCAGCAGUCCAUACUAAAAUUGGAAUGAUGCAGAGAAGAUUAGCACGGCCCUUACGCAAGGAUGACAUGUAAAUUCACGAAGUGGUCCAUACUGUG